UCUCGCCACCGGUCUGCACGGGCAACGCCUGCUCAAGCGCGCCUGCCUGCCCGUUGCACGCCGCGCCAACUUCACGCGCGCCUGCCUGUCUGUUUUGCACGCCGCGCAGCCCGCGCGCCCACCUGAGCUGCCGGCCUCCGGAGCGUUCGGCAACCGCUUAGCGGCUUAGGUGCAGUCGGCGGGGGCCAAUCGAAUCGAGCAGUAGCAGUAGCUUCCUGAGCCAUCAUUAAAUUCACCUCCAUCUGUAAUUAUCCUCACACCAUAGAUGACGGUGGCAAGCUCCUCCCCAAAUUCUCUGCUCUCUUGUUCCCUUGCGCUGUUGUGUUCAUCGUUCCCCACGUCAUGAGGGUUGACAGAUUGGACGCUGACCCAAACUAAAUCGGAGGCUACGGUGGCCGCCUAACGCGACCGCGACCAAGCACCGACCCAAUAUGGUGGCUUCGGCGGCGCGGGCCAUCAAAGCUGGCGGCGGCCCCAGGCGAUGGAGGCGGCGGCACGGCCCUAGGCAACGGAAGCGGCGGCGCGGUCCCUGGCGCAGACGCGCAGUGGCGCUGACGGCGGCGGCGCUGGCUACACGCGAUGGCGUGGCGCGGCCCCGCGGGCUGGAGGUGGAUGCCCCCACGCACUGGAGGCGGCUGCGGUGUCCCCAGGCACGGCCGGCGCCCGGCGGCAGCGUGUCUGCGUGAAGCCGUGAAGAGGAAGGUUUUUUUUUUACUGCCGAAUCGUUUUUUCCCGUAAUCUUUGCCAAUCCGGGAUUGAGCAAGGGCUUUUACGUAAAAUUGUGUUCAACCAAAACUUUGAAAUAAUCUACGUCAUAAAAUUUCUGCUAUUUUAAUUAUGUAUUAGAUGCUCAAACUGAUUAGACUCUAAAAUGUACGGUGCAGCAUUUUAGUUUGUCGGGGUGAUCUAUCUGGUUUUAUAAAGUUCACGAAAUUAUUUUAAGGAGGAAAAACCGAGGAGGUUUUCGGCCUAAAUCAACUAAACCCCGCAUUAAAAUUGACAACAUGACAUUUGUAUGUCGACAAGUCAGCAAAAUCAUCUACAAAACCAUUUAGGUUGGUCUCGGAGAUGAUUUGUCUGGUUUUGCGAAACCGAGGAGGCUGACUACCCGGUUUGGAAGUUCAAAGGGCAAAGUAGUCUCGGCUUCAAAGUACAGGAGUUCAUGAACUUACCCCGUCGCCCGCCCGAUUCGUAGGGUAUUUUUGUCUGCCCCUCCACUUCUGGCGGGAGAUAUUCGGAGCGAGCACCUCUGUUUCCGACCGCUCGCCGCGAGUUUGCCGCCACCGUCGGUCAGCUUUCCACGCGAAACUGACGGUGAGUCAUCCAUCGAAGGUCACCUUCUUCGGAUCUCACAGCUGCCGUGGCCCGUCCCGCUCGAGGAGAUGCAGACUUUCUUUUUGAGUUUCGCCGCGCAGCAAUUUUUGGAGGACUCGUUGUGGUAGGACGAUUCCUCGGACGACGAAUUCAGCUACGAUGACAUGCAGAAUAUAUUGAUGAUUCUCGCCCUGAAACACGUCGAAAUGGUGCCUCUACAUCUGCUUUCUCCCAACUCUUGUUUUCCUAGGGUUCGUGAGGAUUCCCAGCCGUCUGGUCGACCCUCUACGCCUACGCGACUAUGCCACCGCCACGACACUUGUUACUGGGGUGCUCUUCCUCGCUGUGCGGUUCCGAUCCGGCUGGGCGCACUGUUCAGUUUGGUCACCGUGCUGCUCCACCCAACACCACGACGGGAUCCAGAGGAUUUUUGGCGAGAGCCCGCAGAGACACCGUAAAUCCCAACCCAUGCUCAUUAAAUUUCUCUUAAUUCGCUGGUGAAUCUGUGGCUGCUGAUCGCUGGGGCAGGGUAUCUAGCUGUAAUGGCUAACCAGGGAUGGACCUUUUUUUUUUGAGAAAGGGAAUGGAGCUCUAAUCAAUUCACAAUGUUUUCUUUUCUGAUCGGUAACAUACUUAGUACUUACAUCUUUUAUGUAGCAUUUCAGAGUGCAUGUACUCCACUGCAGUAUUGGCGAUUGAUUACUAGACUAGAAACUAUAGUAGGAACUCCCAUUUCUUAUGAAACAUCUGCAAGCAUAUAAGCCUAGCAAAUUAGUUAUAGUAGUGUUUUUGAUUGGCUAAACUGUAAAUGUAUCGGACUCCUCUGCCCCAUGGUUGUCCCGGAGGUCAAGGCAACGCCGGAAACACGCUCCCCACCCGCGGCAAUAACAAGUUUAAGUCCUUCAUCCACCUCCUCCUCGAGUGCAAGUUCUGUUAUGAGUUCUCCGCUGCUCUAUUCUAGUGAUCCAGUCUAACUAUGUCGUUUAAAGAUGGGGAAUUAAUGAUAAAUUCGAUAUGUAAGACACAUUUUUAGUGCCAGAUUUGAUUGAACCAACUAGCCAUGCUUUUUUUCUUUGA